GGGGCAUGACAGCAUUGAAGUGAGUGUGAUAUGAAGUGUCUUCCACCAGGGGAGCUCCUUAGAGGCUGCAUGUCCAGGGUUUUUAUUGGGGGCUUGUCACACAGGCACCGUCUGCUCAGCACACCCCAAGAUUCCAGACUCCCAGAAGGAAAGCAGCGAAUUAAAAAGAAAAGAAAAAAACAAAAACAAAAACAAAAAACAAAUGAAGAAGCAACUGGUACGAGCAGAUUUGGUGCAAGAGAACCAAUCGCAGGAGCCGCCCAAGCUCACUUAGGAAAAGAGCUGAGCGACAGCAGCUGCACCCAGAAGGUGGAGACCGCAUGUGAACCCAGGAUCCCAGGCAGCACAAGGCUAGAGACCCUGCAAGCAGCCAUGGCUGUGCGUUCAAGCGGAGCAUCAUCACAGCCAACACGGUCUUCCUCCUGGUUAACCAAGAUCCCGUUUCAGCCAUUCUGGAAUUGCAGGGCUGGCCAGAACUUUAGGAACAAUACGUGCAAUGCCUUCAUUUUGUGAGUAACUGGUGUCCUGAAGAGGUGACACCCCUUGCUCAGGACGGCUGUAAGAGAGGUCAUGGCUGAAUGGGGACCCCUCUAAUUUGAGAUUUGUGUAGAGAGAUAAACCUUCUCCAUAAGAAACCAUUCACAUAAAUAAGCCACUCUGCCUGAUCAGCACCCUAAUCCCUUCAAAAUGUCCUAGCAUAGCAUAUUUUCUUUCUCUGUUUUGAGAACAAUUUUGAAUACACGUGAUAUGUAACAUAUAAAAUAUACUGUGAUAUAAAGUAUAUGAUAAGUAAAGAUAUUAUACAUAUUUUUAAUAGGCACCUGGGAGAUUCCGGAAACUGUGUCAGUUUCUCUAAGUCAGUAUCUUAUAAAAUCCUCAGAAAAACCGUCCCAGACAAAUAAUAUUCAUAUUUUUAAAAAUGGGGGAAGUGAGAUGCACAGAGGUUAAAUUUUUUACCCCACUGAGUGAAUGAGCAGUGGCAGGCGUGGGGCCCACACUCUUGUCUGCCAGAGUCUGUUUGGGCAGCAGAGUGUCACAGCAUGUCCAUCUUCCCUAACCUGCUUCAUCCUCUAAACAUCGAUUUAAACUCAGACACCCCAUUGAGAGUCCAGCAGAGCCAGGUCCCAGAGGAGCGGCUUCUUCCUGAGUCCUGCAUAGACAGGUCCCUGAGGAGCAGCUUCUUUCUGAGUCCUGCAUGUCACUUGUCUUGCGAUUCCUGCGGUGGAGGCCAUGUCAUUGAUGCGACUCCACUCCCAGCCCUGAGUCUUGCAAAAACCUUAUUUAAUGCCUUGGAGCUGAGUGGAGGGCGACACCAGCUACAUGACAACCAAGGACCGGGCAUCCAGGAUCCGAGUGUGUGCUGUAAUCAAAGAAAACUUAAUCCACCACAUAUUAGUGACAUGCACAACAGUCAUUCUGCACAUGGUCAUUAGCCAUCAACGGUAAGCAGCUCUGGUAAACGGCAGUAACUGGUAUGCUACUACAAAGCUGAAUGCCUUGCCCCCACUUUCUGUCUUUAUUUUAUUGAUCCCAAUGAAUGGCAUCGACGUCAACAGUUCCCUUAACUUUUCCACAAUGGAGUCCUCAUCUCAAUGCCCCUCCCCUCAUCCGCCCCAUCCCUGCUUCUUUCUCUCUUCAUCUCUCUUUGCAUUGUGCACACACACGUGCACCCUCACACACAUGCACACAUAUGUACGUGCACACAUACAUACGUGCACACACACGCACAGACAGCUGAAGAUUCCCGUGAUGGCCCAUUUGCUCAGUGUUGCCCCACACAGCAUCUGCCAACACUGUGCUUUAGUGGACGGCAGUAUUUAUGGCGCCUUACACAGUAUUGUCAGAUGCAGGACUGACCUUGUUCUGGAGGACAACUGAGGCGACCUCUGCUGUCUCCCCUGGCUGCCACCGCCAUGCCAUGGCAUCAACACCCCAGGAAGGAAAGCUCCUGCUGCCUGCAGUCCAGAGGAUGCUUGGGAUUCCUGGAGUGAUGGGAACAGAAUGGGAAUGUCUUCUGCACAUAGAGAGAAAUGGAGUGAACGCCUCGUGGACUUCAGGCUUUCAGAGCACGAAUUGUCACAGGUGCUUUCUCCUCUUAACAGUGUUUGCCAAUAUUUGUUUCUCCCCUCCUGUCUUGGGUACCAAGGCUCUCCUCAAUGCCUCUGUCCUUCUCCCUUUUGACAUUGCCACCAGGACUUAAGAAGGUCAGGGAGGUUGCCCGCAAUGUGCCUGCUGUGAGUAAGAGUGUCCCGGCUGUGAGGACCACCAUGUCGCAUGGAUGGGGCCUGCUGGAGGUGCUGCUGGCAGAUUUGGGGGCCUAAUUCUGGCUUUGGGGAAGGGCAAAGCCCUGUUCUCAUGAGUAGAGGGGUCGCACAGAAUCCUCAGCGCGUAUCCUGCUAAUUGCUGUAGCCCCUCCUAGUAACCCUUAAUAAAUACGACUGGUCAUGCACAGAAUGCAAAACCCUUUUCUCUCUGUUGGCAGUUUCUCAGGCUGAGAAAAAAACAUCAGUGUGGGGGAAGAUUUGGGACCCGUGUCUGUAUCUGCUACCUGGACUCUCAUUAAACAGAUGACGUGAUGAAGCAAUCAGAAAGCCUGGCCAGCUGCUCACCUCCAGGGCAGCUUCUUGGGAAGAUAGUGAACAAUUCUGGGGGUUAAGAACUGUUUUUAAAAGAAAACACUAGGGAGGCUGGGGCAGGAGGAUCAUUUGAGGCCCAGGAGUUGGACGCUGCAGCUAGCUAUGAUUGUACCACUGCACUCCAGCCUGGGUGACAGAGCAAGACCUUGUCUCUAAAAAAUAAAUAAAUAAACCUUUAAAAACCAAGCGCAAGGUUAGCCUUCCACUGAACCCCACUGCUGUCCAGCAUCCCGUGUCUUGGUGCCCACUCUGAGGCAGGGUUGGAUGUGGUUUGCAGCAGGCCCUCCAGGGCUGGUUUUCAUCCUGACUUCAUCGCUGAUGCUGGCUGGCCCAGGAGCCUGGCUCCCUCCCUCUAGGCCAUGUGGCACUGUGACCCGCUCCCUGGGGCCAUGGCAACUGAGGGGAGAAGUGAAUGCUUUGCUUUGGGCUUUACUCUGUAAAUUCUGCUCAUAGGGAAUGCUCUGGAUCCUUGCCCAGAUUUCUCCCGUCUUCUCUGGGCCAGCCCUUUCCUCAGGUGGAGCUGGGAAAAGAGGCCAAGGACGCAGCUCUGGGAGACGACCUUCCAGGGCAGCCUUGGAACACCAUGUCCCCAGCAUCUCCGCUGG